rnacentral:rRNA from 1 species
GAUGAACGCUGGCGGCGUGCCUAAUACAUGCAAGUCGAGCGAACAGACGAGGAGCUUGCUCCUCUGACGUUAGCGGCGGACGGGUGAGUAACACGUGGAUAACCUACCUAUAAGACUGGGAUAACUUCGGGAAACCGGAGCUAAUACCGGAUAAUAUAUUGAACCGCAUGGUUCAAUAGUGAAAGACGGUUUUGCUGUCACUUAUAGAUGGAUCCGCGCCGCAUUAGCUAGUUGGUAAGGUAACGGCUUACCAAGGCAACGAUGCGUAGCCGACCUGAGAGGGUGAUCGGCCACAAUGGAACUGAGACACGGUCCAGACUCCUACGGGAGGCAGCAGUAGGGAAUCUUCCGCAAUGGGCGAAAGCCUGACGGAGCAACGCCGCGUGAGUGAUGAAGGUCUUCGGAUCGUAAAACUCUGUUAUUAGGGAAGAAAAAAUGUGUAAGUAACUAGGCACGUCGUGACGGUACCUAAUCAGAAAGCCACGGCUAACUACG